GUACACAAAAAUGCACAUGCUGUGAGCUCGAUGAGUAGGGCGGGACACGUGGUAUCCUGUCUGAAUAUGGGGGGACCAUCCUCCAAGGCUAAAUACUCCUGACUGACCGAUAGUGAACCAGUACCGUGAGGGAAAGGCGAAAAGAACCCCGGCGAGGGGAGUGAAAAAGAACCUGAAACCGUGUACGUACAAGCAGUGGGAGCACAGAGCAAUCUGUGUGACUGCGUACCUUUUGUAUAAUGGGUCAGCGACUUAUAUUCUGUAGCAAGGUUAACCGAAUAGGGGAGCCGAAGGGAAACCGAGUCUUAACUGGGCGUUAAGUUGCAGGGUAUAGACCCGAAACCCGGUGAUCUAGCCAUGGGCAGGUUGAAGGUUGGGUAACACUAACUGGAGGACCGAACCGACUAAUGUUGAAAAAUUAGCGGAUGACUUGUGGCUGGGGGUGAAAGGCCAAUCAAACCGGGAGAUAGCUGGUUCUCCCCGAAAGCUAUUUAGGUAGCGCCUCGUGAAUUCAUCUCCGGGGGUAGAGCACUGUUUCGGCAAGGGGGUCAUCCCGACUUACCAACCCGAUGCAAACUGCGAAUACCGGAGAAUGUUAUCACGGGAGACACACGGCGGGUGCUAACGUCCGUCGUGAAGAGGGAAACAACCCAGACCGCCAGCUAAGGUCCCAAAGUCAUGGUUAAGUGGGAAACGAUGUGGGAAGGCCCAGACAGCCAGGAUGUUGGCUUAGAAGCAGCCAUCAUUUAAAGAAAGCGUAAUAGCUCACUGGUCGAGUCGGCCUGCGCGGAAGAUGUAACGGGGCUAAACCAUGCACCGAAGCUGCGGCAGCGACACUAUGUGUUGUUGGGUAGGGGAGCGUUCUGUAAGCCUGUGAAGGUGUACUGUGAGGUAUGCUGGAGGUAUCAGAAGUGCGAAUGCUGACAUAAGUAACGAUAAAGCGGGUGAAAAGCCCGCUCGCCGGAAGACCAAGGGUUCCUGUCCAACGUUAAUCGGGGCAGGGUGAGUCGACCCCUAAGGCGAGGCCGAAAGGCGUAGUCGAUGGGAAACAGGUUAAUAUUCCUGUACUUGGUGUUACUGCGAAGGGGGGACGGAGAAGGCUAUGUUGGCCGGGCGACGGUUGUCCCGGUUUAAGCGUG
rnacentral:rRNA from 1 species